AUCUCCUUGCCUAGCAUGCAUUCGCCAUGGCCUUGCGAUGGCUCCAGUUGAUCUUCUCGCCACCAUCACUUGCGGAGCAACACUGGGAUGGUUAAUAUUUGGUCGAUUUCGUGAGUUAGGAGGUUGAUUUCAAUUCAUGAUUUGGGUUAUCUAUAUUAUUCUUUGGGAAGAUCGAUUGUUGGAAAGAUUGACUACAAUUCCCCCUGAUCAUUGCUAAGACCAACACAUUGACGGACGAGCGAUCGAGGUGCUGCAUGCCCUCGUCCAUGCCAAUCCAAUCCGACAAGGAGGCGCGACCGCCAUUGCUCCAUGACAGCGUGGGGCGACACCUUGAAGCUCUUGAUCUGGACCAUCUGGCCCGCCUUCUACCACAUCAUCUUGCAACACAAUAGGUCAUCACCCUGCGUUGGGGAGAAAGAGCCUACAACCCCGACUAUUAGAUUCGUGCUUCCUUUGUAUUGUUUCAGCACAUACUGUCAAAAUUGCUUUUUUGCAAUCCAAAUGCUUGAUUUGCUGCAAGCUGAUUGAAGUCAUGUGCCCGAUAAACAACAACAUUACGAAAAUUUAUUCAAGGUGCGGACAAGAAAUUUGUAUUACAGUUGAACCUUACCAUAUACUGUAUUAUGUUUAAUUCCCCUGAUGGUCAUGUUGUUUUCUUUCUUAACCUUCUCUGAUUAGUGUACUUACUGAAAUAAAUUAUUUCAGUAUAUGUUUGGUCACGAACUGAUCAUACUACUUUUAAUCAACAGAUACUAAGAUGAUAUACAAGUUUGGUCAAAAAUUGGUCAUACUGAGAAAGGUGAUUUCAUUGUUACAUUAUAAUGAAGCCAUUUUCAACGGUUUUCUCUUUUUUGUACUUAAAGUGCUCUUCUCCUAAAAGCUCUUUGUCACACUACCAUCCCGCAGCAACGCACAGGGCAUUAUCUAGUUUUUUUAAUACAUCACACCAACAAUUUGUGUUGCUCCGGAUAAAACAUAUUCUCUUGACAAAGGUUUGGCUUACAAAGGCAUGAAGUUAUCUGUAGCACAUAAUGUAUUUUUUUGUUAAGUCCUUUCUAUAGCUUUUCAUCCUGGUGGUGGAAUAACUACAAUAAACAAGGUAAGGCUCUUAUUCGUACAAAUGGUAUAAUUGGGUCAGUGUGUAUUAUAGCAAAACUCACAUUAAUUAUCUGAUACCUGGACAUUGAGUACAGUCCUUUGACACCUUGAAUCAUUGGGUUUACUCCUUUUUGAUCUCACAAGAUCUUCCUCGCAUGCUUACACCUUGAUGAACUGUACACCAGGAAUUUUUAUAUGAAAAUAAAUAGAAUUCAAUUCUUUGCUGGUGGCAAUGGGUGGAUCAAUUAACCAACUAUCAUGCACCCAUUAUAUCUGGUGCAUAUGCAUUUUUUAUGUAGGCUUGGAACUUUAGACGUGAAAAUUAAUCAUGACCAAAAUUACUUUAAUAGAAUGGAGCAAAUAUGUGAUUUGAAUAUACUGGAAGAAAAAUUCACCGAUUUUUCAGAGAUUAGUAACCCUUUUUUGCUGGUUGUUGUCAAGAUGGCUGAAUAGGUACUCCGGUAGCUGUACUAGGAACAUCUUAUAUUUCAGUUGGUAUCUGUAGUUUCAGAUUGCUAGCUAACGCAACUUAACUUGGAAAGUUCCAGAUAGUUAGCUAAUGAAUCUAUCAUGGAAAAUAUUGUACCAUAUCAUAUUAUGAGUGUAAUUUUGGCUGUCUUUUGUUCGGGUCAUUUUCUUACACUGAUAGCAAACUGUCUUUUCUUUUUAGCGAUUUAUUGUGAAAGUUUAUUUAUCUCUCAUGUUACUGACCAAUCAGUAACCAAUCUGGAUAAAGACUAAGCAGAGAAUAUAAUCUUAGUGAAGACAUUUCAAUGGA